UACAGAGGGUGCGAGCGUUGUCCGGAAUCACUGGGCGUAAAGGGCGCGUAGGUGGCUGUGUAAGUCGGGGGUGAAAUGCUGCGGCUCAACCGCAGCGCUGCCUCCGAGACUGCACGGCUUGAGCACGGUAGAGGCCGAUGGAAUUCCCGGUGUAGCGGUGGAAUGCGUAGAGAUCGGGAAGAACACCGAUGGCGAAGGCAGUCGGCUGGGCCGUUGCUGACACUGAGGCGCGACAGCGUGGGGAGCAAACAGG
rnacentral:rRNA from 1 species